GACGAACGCUGGCGGCAUGCCUAACACAUGCAAGUCGAGCGAGCAGAUCCCUUCGGGGUGAAGCUAGCGGCGGACGGGUGAGUAACACGUGGGCAACCUGCCUCAUAGAGGGGAAUAGCCUUCCGAAAGGAAGAUUAAUACCGCAUAAGAUUGUAGCUUCGCAUGAAGCAGCAAUUAAAGGAGCAAUCAGCUAUGAGAUGGGCCCGCGGCGCAUUAGCUAGUUGGUGAGGUAACGGCUCACCAAGGCGACGAUGCGUAGCCGACCUGUGAGGGUGAUCGGCCACAUUGGGACUGAGACACGGCCCAGACUCCUACGGGAGGCAGCAGUGGGGAAUAUUGCACAAUGGGGGAAACCCUGAUGCAGCAAUGCCGCGUGAGUGAUGACGGCCUUCGGGUUGUAAAGCUCUGUCUUCGGGGACGAUAAUGACGGUACCCGAGGAGGAAGCCACGGCUAACUACGUGCCAGCAGCCGCCGUAA
rnacentral:rRNA from 1 species